UGCGGACCUUCUGGGGACCCAGAGCAAGGGCCUAUCCACAGGAGUCUGUCUCCGCGAGGAGGGGCUCCUGGGAUCACAGCCCAGGGUGGGGCCCCGUUUGGGGGUCGGGGUGCGGAGGGGGCCGAUUCUGAAGCUAAUGGCGAUUGAACGGCGACAGCCAAAAAGAAACUGGCAGAGCUGCAAACUGUGGGUGGCGAUUACUGGGAGCGAGACCCUUGCAAGGCCACUGAGUCCCUGACUCUGGCUAACCCAAGAAAGUCGCGCAGCCCCUCGCCGAUCCUCCUGAUCCUCCUGCGCUGUGCGCGGGGCAGGCGCUCGCGCCCCCUGCCUGGAGCCAGGCGCCUGGCCCAGCCUACGCGGCUGAAGGUGCCCUGCGCGGGCUACGGGCUUUCGCCUGGGUUCGCUGCCUUGGACCUGGGGCCAGAAGGGCUAGGGCGUCCAGGACUCCUAUUGUGUGAGAGCCCGCGACACAAGGAGUGGGAGGCUGGAGCGGCGUGGAGAGUGAGACAGACUUUAGAUGAGAAAACCAAAUCAUCAGUAGAUUGCUCAGCCAUGAGAUGUUGAGCCAAGGUACAACCUAAGGAGGCUGGUUUUAGCCCUUGAUGUCUGUUGAAUAUAAGAAAAUAAGUCAUCUUCAGUGACCUUGCAUGGUGAGUUAGACUGUACAUUCCUCCUCAAUGCUCUUGUAGCACUUUUUUUUUUUUUUUUGCAAUUUAUUUAUUUAAAAGGCAGAGUGAAGAGACAUAGGGAGAGAAAUAGGAAAUAGGCCAUGGGGGUGGGGAGGGAUCUUCCAUCAAAUACUUAUAACAGCUGGGACUGGGACAGGUCAAAUCCAGGAGCCUAGAACUCCAUUUGAGUCUUGUGUAUAAGUGUCAGGGACCCAAAUGCCUGGGCCAUCAUCUGCUGUCUUCCCAGGUGCAUUAGCACAAAGUUGGAUCAGAAACACAAAGAAGCUGGAUCUGAACCACAUUACCUGCCCCAUGUAGCACUGUUUUUACCUGCCCCUGUGAAAUACUUGCCACAUUUUAUUAUUUGCAAACUACUUAAGGGACAGAGUUAGCGACUUAUCCUACUAUUUGGCUUGGAAGUUUUCCAUAAACGUUUAAUUGUUUAUAGAGAAUUUAGGUACAGAGGAGAUUACAUUAGCUGGAUCUAUAAGGACUAUAACAAGUAAUCUGUAUUUGUAAGACAUAUCCUGAAAUUUAGAUAGGCUACAAGGUACUUUUGUAGUAGUAAAUGGGACAUCAUAUAUAUCAAUUUGAUGUGGGAAAAAUAAGUUCCAAUGUUCUUGUUUGAAACAACUGAGAACAUCAGAGCAUUAUUUUGAGUUUUCUACAAACCAUCACUUUGACCUUGGAAAGGGUAUAUUUCUAAUAGCUUAAGGAAUUUCUAAUGUCAGUAUCCUCCAGCCAAACACUACAGUUAAAUGAGCUGGGUUUACUGCUCAUUGCAAUAUGAUAAAACACACAUCACAGAAAUGAUAGCACAUCAUAGGGGAAAGCUAUUAGGAAGGACUUGCAGGAAUUACUUAUCUUCAGUGAUUUGGGGAAGAGUUUAACAAAGC
rnacentral:lncRNA from 1 species